GAUGAACGCUAGCGGGAGGCUUAACACAUGCAAGUCGAGGGGCAGCAUAGGGUAGCAAUACUCUGAUGGCGACCGGCAAACGGGUGAGUAACGCGUAUGCAACCUACCCUGUACAGGGGGAUAACCCGGAGAAAUUCGGACUAAUAUCCCGUAAUAAUAUCCGGAGGCAUCUUUGGAUAUUUAAAGUUCCGACGGUACGGGAUGGGCAUGCGUAACAUUAACUGGUUGGUAAGGUAACGGCUUACCAAGGCUAUGAUGUUUAGGGGUCCUGAGAGGGUGGUCCCCCACACUGGUACUGAGACACGGACCAGACUCCUACGGGAGGCAGCAGUGAGGAAUAUUGGUCAAUGGGCGCAAGCCUGAACCAGCCAUCCCGCGUGCAGGAAGACGGCCCUAUGGGUUGUAAAACUGCUUUUCCAGGGAGAGAAACUUACGCACGUGUUGCGUGACUGACGGUACCCUGGGAAUAAGCAUCGGCUAAACUCCGUG
rnacentral:rRNA from 1 species